AGAGGUUCAAUCUGGAUGAGAAGGAAGAUUUUCAUCUGGUGCUUCAGUGAGAUGAUGCUGUUGGAAUGAGCCAAGGACAAUGGGAUCUCGGAUCAAAGAAAAUCCACAGAAAAUAUUUGAUGUGUUCUUUGAAGUUGCUCGUCCAUCGCUUGCAGAUGAUGAUCCUCAAGUGCGUAGACAAUUCCCACUGGACUUUGAUGACCAGG